UUUGCCUGCCGUCAUGUAAGAUGUGACUUUUUCUUCAUUUGCCUUUAGCCAUGAUUAUGAGGUUUCCCCAGCCAUGUGGAACUGUGCACAGACAAAUGCAACAGAUAGAAAGAUUAGCAGCAUCAGUAAAAUUCUACAAUGUCAGCACAUUGAAGAGAGUAUAGGACUGAAGCCAGUAAAUACUUAUUACCCAAAUGCAUGAAAGAAAACAAAUGAAUGGGAUUUAAAGAUGCAGAUUGAUUAGAAAUAAUUUUGAAAGUGAAAAACAGAACAAGCAAG
rnacentral:lncRNA from 10 species